CAGCCGCCACGGUAAUACGUAGGGUGCGAGCGUUAAUCGGAAUUACUGGGCGUAAAGCGUGCGCAGGCGGCUUUGCAAGACAGAUGUGAAAUCCCCGGGCUCAACCUGGGAACUGCAUUUGUGACUGCAAGGCUAGAGUGCGGCAGAGGGAGAUGGAAUUCCGCGUGUAGCAGUGAAAUGCGUAGAUAUGCGGAGGAACACCGAUGGCGAAGGCAAUCUCCUGGGCCUGCACUGACGCUCAUGCACGAAAGCGUGGGGAGCAAACAGGAUUAGAUACCCCAGUAGUCCCUGUCUCUUAUAC
rnacentral:rRNA from 1 species